GGUUCUGUGACCUAAUGGAUAAGGCAUCAGCUUCCAGAGUUAGGGAUUAUGGGUUUAAGUCCCAUUUGGGUUG